AGCCAUUAGACGAUAUUUAUGGUUAAACCUGCCCAAUGUUAGUAAUAAUGAAUGGCCGCGGUACCCUGACCGUGCUAAGGUAGCGUAAUCAGUUGGCUUUUAAAUGGAGUCAGGAAUGAAUGGGAAAACCGGGUUUAGCUGUCUCCCAACUAUUUUCUUGAAUUUACUGUUUAAGUGAAAAAGCUUAAAAAUGAUAAAGGGACGAGAAGACCCUUAGAAUUUUUUUUAAAAUGGAAAUUUUUCUAUAAUAAUUUUGUUGGGGCGACAGAGAAAUAUUUAAAACUUUCUUUAAAUUUACAUGCCGAUAUUGUUAAGUAAGAAUAAAUUACCUGAGGGAUAACAGCAUAAUUCUAUAGUUGAGUUUGUGACCUCGAUGUUGGACUAGGAAACUAACAGGCUAGCCGUUUGUUGUGUGGGUUCUGUUCGAACUCUAAUUCCUA
rnacentral:rRNA from 1 species